CCACGACUACAUUAGAUACCCCCGUAGUCCUAGCCGUAAACGAUACUCGCUAGGUGUCGGCCACGGUGCGACCGUUGUCGGUGCCGUAGGGAAGCCGUGAAGCGAGCCACCUGGGAAGUACGGCCGCAAGGCUGAAACUUAAAGGAAUUGGCGGGGGAGCACAACAACGGGUGGAGCUUGCGGUUUAAUUGGAUUCAACGCCGGAAAUCUUACCGGGACCGACAGCAACAUGAAGGCCAAGCUGAAGACUUUGCCGGAUUAGCUG
rnacentral:rRNA from 1 species